GCAUGCCUAUAGCAUAGUGUUAAUGCACCAUAUCCCACUGGAACUUCUCACUUAAGCAUGUUCGGGCUAGAGUAGUACCGAGAUGGGUGAUCGCCUAGGAAGUCCUAGUGCUUUACAUGCC
rnacentral:rRNA from 1 species